rnacentral:rRNA from 1 species
GACGAACGCUGGCGGCGUGCUUAAUACAUGCAAGUCGAACGGAAAGGCCCUGCUUUUUUGGGGUGCUCGAGUGGCGAACGGGUGAGUAACACGUGAGUAACCUGCCCUUGACUUUGGGAUAACUUCAGGAAACUGGGGCUAAUACCUGCUAGGAGCUCCUGCUGCAUGGUGGGGGUUGGAAAGUUUCGGCGGUUGGGGAUGGACUCGCGGCUUAUCAGCUUUUUGGUGGGGUAGUGGCUUACCAAGGCUUUGCCGGGUCGCCGGCCUGAGGGGGAGACCUGGUACACGGGGCCUCAGAUAGGGAGCAGACUACUUUGGGAGGCACCGGGGGGGAAUAUUGCUGACCGGGCGGGAGUCGGAUGCCUCACCUCCGGGUGCGGGAUGGCCGCCUUUUCGGUGAGAGCCGCUAUCGCCUGCGUCGACGCGUGAGUGACGGUAGCGGGUAAAGAAGCACCGGCUAACUACGUG